UGUCACAUGCAGAGUAAGCUUUGCGGAAAUCACGGGCAAUUUUCGAAGCGCCGAUUCCAACCAUCUGCUUUUCCAGACGUGUCAACAUCUGUCACAUGUAGAGUCAACUUUACGGAAAUCACGGCCAGUUUGUCGAAGCGCCGAUUCCAAAUAUCGUAGAAGCAUCUGUUUUUCCAAACGUGUCAGCAUCUGUCAUAUAGAGUCAGCUUUGGGUAAAUCAUGGGCAAUCUGUCGAAGAUCUCUUGUGAAGUAGAAAGCACGUGAAGUUUACUAUUAAAUCAUCCAACGGUUGCUGACAAGAGUGAAAGAAUAGUACUGGUUAUUAAAUCCUAUAAAUGUCAUCCUUCACCCUCAAUUGCAAGGCAGACAUACAUAACCCCCCUUCUUCUCAAAAAAUGCCUUUCCAACACACCCUCUCGAGUCACUCAGUGUUCCUAAUUCCUUAGGGUACCUCUGCAAACAACUCAUCCAAAGCAAAAGUAUUUCAUAUCAUGAAGGUUGAAAGCAAGAGUAUCUCAUAUCAUGCUUUCUCCCUGUCCUUCUCCUUGUCUUUGUUUUAGGACAAGGAGAAAGAGAGCAAUCAGCCAGCACUUGGUAUCAAUCUUCCAAUCUGGAACCGACUGCCUGGAACCCCUUCCUGAUUGCUUACCUAUGAUGCGUAAUAUAUAAGCACAUAAAUUAAACCCUCUUUUUAUCAAAUGUAGUAAAGUAUGUAAGUAGGGAUCAUUUUAGGCCGGGGAUUAGGAGGGAUUGUUAAAUCACUUGGAAACUGACUUGAAAACGUAAAAACAAAGUUUAAAACACUAACCUAGACUCAAAGAAUGCAAAACUAUACUUUAAAAUACUAAGAUAAGCAAAAGAUUCAAAACAGCAAAUAAACACUCAAAAUUGCCUUAAAAACACUUUCUGGGCAGUUUUGAACACCUAACACAAACUUGGACGAAUUUUGGUUUUCUAAUGGACUAAAACACUUAAAAACAU
rnacentral:lncRNA from 1 species